UACAACCCAGAGAUCAUAACCUGAACCGAAAUCAAGAGUCAGAUGCUUAACUGAGCCAACCCAGGCGUUCCUAAAAGGAAAGUUCUGACCACUUUAUUCCUUAGUGGAUUAUAGUAGUUCAAAAUGUGGUUGUCAUCUCCCAGAAUUUAUUCUAUCUGGCGAAUCUCAACUUACCUUUUUGCUUACUAAGGACUGAAAAACAAUUUCUUCUGUUUAGAGUACUUGAAGACAGAUUUGAAUACAUAAAAAUCUGACCCCUAUUUUGCCCACGACUGCCUUUGAUCAGCAGGGUAACUGAGUGGGUGUGGGCAGUCUGGUGGAUACUUAUCCCCAUGGAGGGUGCAGGGUAACAGAUAGAAAAGUGAGACUGGGUAGGGAGGUAAAAAAUAAGGACUAGAAAAAGGAGAAGAUACCAGAUCAAGACACACCACCUUCUCAUCCUGAAACCCUUCAUCACCGGGUGUCACAAAUCAGGUUCAGGAGCCUCUCAGACUUCGAUAUGGUUAUAAAAAUAUGUUUAAAAAACCCUGCAGUGACAAUUACAGACACAAGUAGCACAUCGUCACAGAGUAUAAGGAGAAGGAGGAAGAGGAAGGAGAGAGGAGAAGAAAAGUUACUAAAAAGAAGGCUCUCCUGCAUAGUGGGGGCUGGUCAUCAGGUUCCACAACAGUCUAGAUUCCAUGUUUCUCAGGACCAAUCAACUGUUCUUAUUUAGGUUUUAUGUCCUACCAGCAGCACUUUGACAGUUAAUGCUAUUUCUCAGGCACCUCAUCCCUGACAAGCUGUGCUCCCUGGCUGGUGAGGAUAAGGAACUAUUGUAAUAACUCAUCGGCUUCCGGCAUCAGAUCACCCUGGAUAAGUGGACUAGCCAGGGUAUGGAUUUCCAAUGCUGAAUCAGAGCCAAUCUGGCGGCUCAGAAGACCAUCACAAUGCAGCAGUGCAUGGAGUCCAUUUACAGGCUGACUUCCCUCAUCUUACUGCUGGGCAUGCUUCUACCACUGACCCUGAAGUAGUGAGGUGUUCUCUGGCCGGAGGUGUGAACUCAAGGAAGCUAUGAAGACAUCAACAGGUGCCUCCUGAAUAACCUCACCUCAGUCCUCCAAGAAAGCCUUCCUCCGCACAAGUUUUUCAAAGUUUAAAAAAUGACCUCAAAUUUGAGCGUACUGAGAUAUUUAAGAGGAAGUGUAUUGGUGUCUGCAAAUGACUUUGACUUGCAUCAAAAAAAUGAAGAUUGGUAUAUGGCUAGAGUGAUAGAUGGACAUCUAUGUGAUAAGGCAAGUAGAAUAAAAUGCUAAUGGUUGCAUUUAGCGGGUAGGGGAGGAUUCAUUAUAAAUAUUUUUUUUAACUUGGCUGUAUGAAUAAUAAUAAAAAUGUUGGCAGAUAAACACUGUGCAAUGAAAAGGAGAAAUACGCCAUGUCUUUGCACCAAAUUUGACCCCUGAACCAUAAAUUCACCUUCUCUUUUACGUUACUUGAAGAAUGAAGGAUUCUGAGAGGUUAAGGAUAAUGUAGUGAGCACCUUACAUGCUGAAACUAGAAAAUGCUCUCAUAGGAGUAGACCUGGAAUGUCUCCUGAGCAAGCUCAGACAAAAUUAUUAUGGAAAAGCACUAACAAAGAGGCUGUUGAAAACCUGUUGGCUUCAGCAGAAAGCUGGGGGAGCCCUUUGUUUUAGGAAAACUUCUAGAUAAAUUGCACAACCAAGCAGGGCACGUGCCUGAGGGCAGUCACCCUCUUUGCCCAACCACAUUCACAAGAUGGAGAGCCAGUUAGUGAAGGAAAAGGUCUAUUCAGUAAUGUGAAAACCCAGUUUUCGGUUAACAGAAGUCAGAUCAGUCACUCAGAAUGGACAGAUCUCUCAGUUAUUUCUCUGUUUUGGGGCUGCUCCCCGGGCAGCAGGAGCCCUGAGGUAACUGGGCAGUAUAAUGACUAUUUGAAGUCAUGACUGCACUUCUCUGACAUGGCAAGAGCCUCCUCAAGCAGUGGCUGGAAUAAAAAGCCUUAGGAAAGAUGAGGUGACUUAGUUCUGUUUCUUUUGCCUGUCCAGUUUUGGAACGAAGUUAGCCAAAUCACAGGUGAAAGACCUCAGGCUGUGUUUAAAUGCCCGAGGCCCUCGGCUCUCCCACCUCACAGCCUGAGAACUCUCCUUGACCUCAGGCCUGCCAUAGACCGGCCUGUGCACACGCUCAGAGGAGCUCUCUGUUGAGAAGGGGUUGCUGACAGGUGGGAACUCACAUUGCUGGUGUGCUUAAUCUGCUCCAGGCAUGCUGCUGGGUACUUUGUGCUAUUUUUGUUUGAGAUCCACAGUAACCCUGCAAGUUAGGUUUAUUUUCCCAUUAGGUGAGAAAAAUGAGGCUCAGGUAAAUAAAGGAAUUUUCCUAGGGUCUCCUGGCCAUUAAGUGGUAGAGGUGGGAUUAUAAUAGCACAAGGCCGCCUGGCUCCAGAGUUGGAGAAGCUGCCGAUAGGGAAGGGCAAUUGGGAGAGGCGGCAGGAUGUACUCACUGGGCGGUUCUCAGAGCUCCACAAUGGGACCAGCUAUUGACAACAGGCAAGUGGGGGAAGGACCAGGGAAGAUUUUGCUAAUACAACUGAAAAAGCAAGUGGCCGCAGGUCCUCUCCUGCAGCAACUGCUUCCCUGUUCCCCAGAGUCCAACUUGGAAAAACAAGGGUCCCCAUAAUAGGGUUAUAGACCUUUUUACUUUUCAAAUUCUUUCUCUUAUCUGAAAGAAAGGCUUUUGCCUGAACCAUAAAAGAUAGCGACAGAAGCAAUAAAACUAUACUCAAAGGCACUGUAAGACAAGGGGGGCAUUAUCCAUGUCAUUAAAUUACAAACCUGGGUGGGAAAGAAAAUAUGCAGUGUUCACUUCAAUUAUUAACUUAAUCUGUCAGUGCCCUGACAUAAUGCUAGGUUUUUUUUUUUGGGGGGGGGGCAUCUGUGAUUUCACUGUUGCCUAGUUAAGAAAAGUAACCCUCAAAUCAAGUCAUGGAAUUCUUUAAAUUCUGCUCAAUUUCCUAUUACCCGCAGGUAUUCUCUGCAUUUUUGCUACACAGCGAGUCAUUAAGUUGUCAAUGAAUUGCAUUGCUCACAACUACCAGGAUUUAAACAAAGUAUUGAAUUCUACAGGACCCAACAGAGACAGGAUGCCAUGUGAUGAGUUCUUGACCAAUCGAUCACUGAAAAGGUUUUCAUAGCAGUAACAUGAAUUAAAUCAUCAAGAACAUCGCUAAAAGUAACAACAUAUUUAUGAGCCUAAUAUAGGAUCUUACGUGCAAAAUUGCUGCCUUUUCAGUUUCUUGGUAGUGGUAGGAACCAGGUAGUGGGAAUGUGGGCUCAGAUGUAAAAGCCAUUCACUUUUACCAGGGUGAACUAUUGAUUUGGGCUUGAUGUGAGUGACAGAAAUGUGGGUAUUGAUUUAUGAAUCGGAAACAUUCAAGAGUCACUUUGGACUUGUUCACUCUUGUGAACAACUCGCAGUCCUGACAGGCAGAAAUCAAAAGCAGACAGCUCUGCAUUCUGAGAGCUUUUGGGGGCCCGAAAGGACUUCUUUCCCAAAACCAUUUCACCCCUGGCAGUCUGAAAUGGCCCUGUUACUCAUUUGGUUUAAAGGGUUGAUGGUGAUGAUUAAGAUAGAAAUAAUAUAGAAAAAGAGUAUACAUUAAGCCAUGACUGGGGGAGUAGCAGGGAAUGAGAUGAAAGAUGACAGCUGAAAGUCCAGCUCCCGGAGCUUGAAUUCCAUUUCUGUCACUUUCCCCCCAACCUUAGCCAACUUAUAUAACCUGUUUGGACCUUGGUGUUUCUAUUCACAAGUAUGUUGAGUGAGGAUUAAAUGAGAUAAUGUAAAUAAAGUGCCCAGCACAGUGCCAGAGCCAAAUAAGGAGCUUGGAAAGGAGCAAUUGUAAUUAUCAUUACCAACAUUAGUCACCAACACAGCUCCAAUUAGUUUAUUAGACUAGCCACCCCACCAUCUAGCAGCGAUCUAAGGGAAUGGGCCAGAAGUUGAGUAAGCUUUGACAAGCGAGAAGGUACAGAGUGUUUAGACAAGGGCUCUGGCCAGAGUAGGCAGGUGCGGUCAGAGCAUCUUACUUGGGCACCCAGAGGGCACCAAAGUCUGGUAUCAGUGUUGGAAAAAAAAAAAAGAUGUAGACAGUGGCACCAUAACAAUGACUGGUCUUAUGAAAUAAACAGAAGAAGGAAUAAACUUGUAUCUUCUCACAUAGAUGGAUUAUAGAACACCAAUUCUGCCCCUUCCUGCUUCAGCAGGUCCUAAUGCGACCCUACCAAUAGGAACCAUCGGAUGUCUGGAGGACGGUGGCUAUGAAAUGGGAUUGACAGCCUGAGAGCCUUAUCUUGAUGAGGAAACUGAAGCAUAGAGAGAUGGGGAAAUCUGACCAAGAUCUCACAGACAGAAGGAGAUGGAGUUCGGAACUGAUCUAAGGUAAUCUCUACACACAACAUGAGGCUUGGACUCACAACUCCAAGAUCAAGAGUCGCAUGCUCUAACUGAACCAGCCAGGUGCCCCUGAGAGAUCUUUUAAAAACAUAAAUCUGAUCCUAUCUACUCCCAGCUUAAAACUUUUAAAACUCCUUAGUUUAGCACCUAACAUCGUUCUUUUUCUGGUCACCAGCCACUAUUAUGGCCUAACUCUCACCACACUCGUCCCCCUGCUUCGUGCUAAGUCCCAGAGGCAGUGAUGCUUGAAGUGAGUUGUGCAGUCCCAUAGAAAUUAGCCUAAAGAAGAGCUCCCUGUGUCUUCCUGGCUUCAUACUUCAUACAUCUUUUGCAGAUGCUAGCUAUGCCUUUUGCCUUUCAUGUCUUCUCCCUGCCUAAUAAUUCCUAAUGGUUUUAAAUUUUUAGUUGAAGCAUCACUUCUACCAAAAAGACCUUAAGAUCCUCUCUGACCCCUCUAUGCAUCUGCUUUCAAUGUGCAGCCAGUGUGCUUCCAUUGAAUGAUGUGCUUGAUGUUGUUAAAAAAAAAAAAAAAAAAAGGCGUCAUUCUGUACUAAAACCAUUCACUGAUCUUGUCUAUUUCUUCCAAUCAGCGAUGGGUUCCUUGCAAGCCGGGGACUGUACUUUUUGAUUUUGUAUUCUGACCUAGCAGAGAGCCAGGUCCUCAGUAAACGUCUGCUGAAUGCAUGGUGUAAAUGUAUUGAAAUUAUGACUGUAGGCAUGAUCAAGGAUCAAUAGGCUGUCAAAAGCUGCAGUGACUUUAGGCCUCGUGAAAACCUACGGCUUGAGAAGGCUACACAACUGUGGACAAAACGAAACCACUGUAUUUGGUCUCCAGUAUCCUUUAUACCUUGCAAAUGUUUACAGAAGAUAUUUUUUAGUUUUCCAUAUUAACAAGUCAUUUCUUUGUUAGUUGCAAGUUAUUUUCUUGGUUGAGACUAAAUUUGACAAGUCUCUCUCAAAAAACAUUCUUCCCUCUUCUUUCACCACCUACAAGCCAUACGAUGGUUUAAACAAAGAGUACUAAGUGCCAUGGAGUCGAGGACAUCAAAGAGAACAAAUUAAAAUGUGUGAUUUGUUUACCAUCACAUGGACUUGGGAGUGCCCACGGCCACAGAAUCUCAGGGCUAGAAGGGUGCCUGGUUGUUGUUGUAGAGAGGAUCUUACUGCCCCACUUUCUGUAGCUGCUUCUAACAACAGGAAUGACUAGACCAUGACCCAUCACAGGAAGAAAGGAAAGUGCUCGUAUAUGAGAAACCUUUCACUCAACCAGCUGCUGCUGCUGCUGCUGCUGCUUUUUUUUUUUUUUAACUCAACCAGCUUCUAUGGCAAAACCAGGGAGAUAAAGAUUUCCAUUCAGCAAAAGCACCGAUAUAUCCGUAGUGGUGCAGGCAGGACACUGUCAGGAGUCCAGAAAGUGUAUCUUUUGAAGUGUUUACCCCCUCAAAACCAUUUCCAGUCACUCCCAAACACUGGUUUCAGGAAUGGCCUGGGGUAUGCACAGCAUAAUUAGGGACAGGCCAGUGGGCUAGCUGAGCCUAGGCUAGCACUCCCAGAGCAACUGGCUAUGGGUUGUAAGGAGCUAUACUCACAAGGUCUCUUAGCUGCUGCCUCCAAAGAAAGGUACAAACGGUGCCGUAAGUAAGAGCUUCGUUCUGGGAUCAGAGAGGCCCGCAUUCAAAGCCUCAUCUCUCUGCUUGCUAGCCAGGUAACCCUUGGGUAAGUUAGUUAACCUUUUCAGAGCCCCAGUUUCCUCACUUGUAAAAUAGGGGGAAGUAGCAUUUAUGUCUCAGUACUGUGUGCCUGGAACACAAUAUGUGGUCCAUUAAUAUAAGUUAUCAUUACUGCCUAUCUAUGGUAAUCCAAAGUAACACAAACUUGUUGUGAUUCCAGUUCAUAUGCCCCCUGGGUCAAGUAAUUUUGCCAUACUCUAAAAUUAACAUAUAGCGAAAGCCUGAUUGAAUAAGUGUUGGUCAAAUGCCCUUCUGCCCUAUUUAGAGCUGAUACUUUGGGUUUCCAUAUUGCCUACAGUUCUACUCUCAGUGUUGUUUUACUCUGUUAUAAAACAGACACCAGAAGAUGAGAUGCUCGAGGCCCAACAGCAUCAACUAUCACUUUGGCAUCCUCCCCGCCGCCCCCCAAUGCUUUGCUGUUCAUCUACUGAGUCCUAAAACAGAAAACCAAGCACUAUUUACUCUAAAUAGUAUAAUCCAGCUUUUCUGUGAACAGAACGUAUCACGUAGAGAGUAAGAAAGUGCCAAUGUGAGAAAAAUUAGAUGCAUUUUUCAAAGUGAAAUGAAAGCUGUUGACACUUGACAAUGUAAUGAACACUUACGGAUGUUCAGCCCCAUUCCCUCCGCAUGGCCCCUCCACGUGAAGGCUUCCAGGCACAGGGAAGAAGGAUGCUGAGACAGGUUUCAAGGGACAACGAAGUGGCAGAGGGGUAGGUAGAAAGACUGUUUAGUUUCAUGACCUACCAUUUAAGGGUUGAGAGUCUCUUUGAGAAAGUACACAGCGAUGAUUGUGCUUUCCUUGGUGACAGCAGAGAAUGGAGGGCACAUUCUCAUUGUCUGUGUGUGUGUGUGUGAGUGUGUGUGUGUGUGUGUGUGUGUGUAACAUGCCUGACAAGUACCAGGAAGGCUCCUUUAGUCUGGAGGUAUUCACCUGGUGUCCUAUCCCCAGACGCCCAGCUCAAAGCAUUAUUUGUCCUCAUAUCCCCACAAAUGUUUGCAGGACCUCCCAGAACAAGCCUCCAUCAUCCUUUUCUCUUAAUCCUUCUCUGUCAUACAAGCUUAUUUGUCAGAAAUACCCACAACCCGGCUGAGUUAAGAGUGUCACGUGUUGGCUGAGUCUCCCGUGAGUGGCCAGUAACCUAGCUGUGGCUUUGGCAGUUAGGUGGACCGCCUGACUUUUGAGACUCACCUCUCUGGGAACUGUCUUUAUGCACAUAUGCAUUCUCAUCCAUGAGUUUCAGGGGAGUCUUGGGUCCCCCCCGAUACUGGUCUGCUCUCUGUUUUGGAGCUCAGGGCAGAUACUCUGCUUCAUGAGCAGAGGACAUUGCACUGACCCUACCCCAACCAGCUGCCUCCAGUGAGGGCUUUCCCUUCAUGCAGGUGUUUCAUGGCUUCUGUGCAGCAUUAGACUCUUUUUUUAUAAAGCUUUUUAACCCUUGGCUUCUGUAACACCAUUCUCUCCUCCUUUUCCUACUUCCUGGGUGGGCAUUCCUCUUUUCCUCCUGCCUAGGCUCCUAGGACGUCUCCUUGCCACAUGCAUCCUUCUUGAAGGCCCAUUGUCCGUCAAAUAGAGAAAACUUCCCCACUGGAAGACUGUUUGUGGUCAGGCGUGUACAUGCCACUGUGCUUUCCUUCUUUUUAUUUAUUUAUUGAGGUGAAAUUCACUGUCAUGAAAUUAACCAUUUUAAAGUGCUGAAUCAGCAGCAUUUAGUACCUUCGGAGCAUUGUGCAGCUAGUACCUCUGUCUGGUUCCGAAACAUUUGGGGACCCUGUGCCUAGUAGCAGUCACUCCUGACAUUCCCAGCCCCUGACAACCACGAAUCCAUUUUCUGUAAGGUGGAUUUGCCUAUCUUCUGGAUAUUUCAUGUAAAUGGAAUCAUACACUAGGUGACCCUUUGGGUCUGGCUUCUUUCAUUCUGCAGGAUGGUUUUGCAGUUACGCUGUGUCACAGCGUGUGUUCACUAGUUUUCCUUCUUGAACCAGCAAAUAGAUCUGUUACCUGUGGAAUCCUUCCCGUCUCUAUUCACGUUUUCGUGACACUUAGCUAGGCCUUCUUACUUUGUAUCAUAACCUCUGAACUGGUCUUUCCAAACCUAGCCUCUCCUUUCUAAUCUACUUCACAACUUCCAGAAGCAAAGUUUUCAUCAUGUCAGUUCUCAAAACUUCCAAUACUCCCUGCAGCUGGUCGGACUCCAGACCCCUGGCCUGAAGCCAUGAACUGGCCUGAAGCCAUGAACUGGCCUGAAGCCACUGCACAGAAGCCAUGAAACACCUGCAUGAAGGAAAACACCUGCAUGAACUGUCCAGGGUCUGGCCUCACCUCCCUUCCACCCUCUGCGGCACGAGACUUCCACCAGACACAGCCACCUAUUGUUCCUUGUAGUGAACCAGUUUUUUCUGUUCUCUCCUGUUUCCUUCUCUCUGAACUCCUUAUUCUGUCUAAAUUCAUGUUCUUGCCUUUCCUGCGCCUGUGUGCAUUCCAAAUUCUGUCCUUCUUCAAGAUCCAGCUUGGGGACCCUCCCCACUCCAUGAAGUUUUCCCUCUGGCCGCCCCCCCCCCCCCACCGCCCACAGCCCCUCCCAAGCAGAGGCAAUGAAUGGUUCCUUUCCUCCCAACUGCCAAGACUCUUUAUCAUGAGAAGUUGCAUGUACAUGUUUUCUCUUCUCUGGGGCGUACACUCCUCAAGGGCAGGAUUCUUCUUCGUAUCCGCACAGGCCCAAUCUUGCAGGUAGUAGGCAUUCACUGAAUUUGUUGAACAACAAUAAGUUUGGACGUUGCUUGCCCUAAUGAUACCAACCAGCAUGGAGGGGGCACUGUCUCUUAGGCCCACUUGGGGGUAUUUAAAUCACUAUUGCUCUGUGAUUUAAAGCUUGCCACCCUCUUUCCUUCUGACAGCUCCUUAAGGAAUGUUGGUCCUUUUUCAAAGACAGCAGAGGGAAAGGGAGGUCGGAGCAUCUUACUUGUCAUCUGCCAAAUAGGACAGGAUUUACCACACUGCUCUGUUGGAAACUUGAAACUUCUCUGCACUAGAGAAAAUAAUUUUUCCCAUCGCAGCCCAUCUGAGCCAGCUUAGCUUUUCAGGAUGGAUGUGCCCACACCCAGAGGUCGAGAUUAAAUUACUUGCCAGCCUCUGAGAUGUAUGUUUAUGAAUGAGGUUUCCUGCCCUAUUCUCAGAGGGAGAAGAUGGUGAGGUUAAGGCUGAGCCAUCAUCCAACAGGUGCUCGGGCUGUAAGGACAGUCCUUGCAUGGGCCCAGGGCUCGCAGAACGGAAGUAGAUGGGUUCUCUUUGGACCUCAGAGGGGAUUUCCUUAGAAAGGAAAAAGCCACACCGGUGGCUUUAACUCAAGUAAAGGGAAAAGCAGUUGACGUGUUAGUAGAGACGUUGUGAGAUAGGGUUUGGCUAGGAAGCUGCUUUUUCUACCUUUCCUUCUUUGACUUCUUUCUAACCUAUGCCCACCCCUCCAUCCACCCACAAUGGGGUUGAGAAGGUCCGGGGAACAAACUGAUUUUAUCCUAAAAUCUCUCUUGAAACACGCCUCUAGUAACAGCGUCCACACAGAUGCCAGCAAUUAUUUGGUUUGGGUAACUAAAAAACAAGACCAAGAAACAGAUCUGGUUGCUAAACUACCAGAAAAAGAAAAGAAAAGAAAAGCAACAGCACCAAAAACAGGUUUAGCUUUUAAAGUGUUCAAGACUUCAGUCUGGGGGGACAUGUUAGGAUUUCCUGAGAAAAUGAAGGAUUAGAAUACACACGUGGUGUGUCCGUUCCGGGUCAAAAUUACAAACCCUGCAAACUGAACACACAUUCCCGUGAGGUUAGGUACUACAGUGGCUUAGCUUUCACUCUGCACAGGCCCAGCAUCCUUAGGGAUUCCUAAUGGGCAGCCAGCCUCUCUGGCCUUUAAGGGAAUCACCAGCUGUCUCCCCAGGUGGACGGCGGGUCUGCAGGCACCGGACAAACACGGCUCCAGGGCCUCCCGGCCCACUAAGCUGCCUCUCACACCACAGCCUUGCCACUGGCGGUGCCUUCCCUUUCAGAACACCUCCUCCCCUGUAUCCCCUUCCCCUGGUUCACACCUGCUUGUCUUUAGGCUCUCAGCUCCUUCACAACUUCUUUGCAAAAGACUUUCCUCAUCUCAACCUCACUUCUCUUUUGUGGCAUUUCCUACAGCUGUCUUUUUAUCACGAUUGCAUGAUCAAUCCCUGUCUUCUCCACUGAACUGGGGACUUCCUGAGGGCAUGGAGUGAUAUUCAGGUGUAUCUAGGUGACUUCUGCUGUGCUGGGUUGGAUUAUGAGGAGGGAGUGGGGGUCCCAUGGGAGCAGAGGCUAAUUAUCAGCUGGUAUGGGAGUAUGUCAGUACCGUAACAGCCGAUUGCACUCGCGUGUGUAUCCUCAGCCUCUGACAUGACACAAGGUCUGCUACAUAGUAGGUGCUCAGUAAAGAUUGUCAACCAACUGUCCUCCCUCUCUGAGGUACCUUCAGGUGGAUGAUGUGCCCCUUGGAGACAAUGCCCAUGUCCUUCAAGUCUUCUUCCUCCAGAAGAAGCAGUCGCUUUCCUGUAAUGUUGUUUUCCUUAAACAAGCUUGCAUAUAUGCUCAUCUCUUCGGAAGAGUCCCCUGAAGGAAGGGAUUAGAAGGCAGAACAAAAUGAGAUGAGACCAUGCCCUGAGCAAAGUUAACUGCAUGAAUUAAGAAGGGCUGGUGGGAACUUUACCAACAACGAGGCCCAGUGAAUGGGAAGAAGUAGAGGCAAGUGGUGCCAAGUUUCCUCACCCUAUAGAAGCCGAAGAGGUUAGCUAAUGUUGAAAGCAGUUUUACUUCACCAGAGCAUGGUGGGCAGGGAGGAAAACGCCCCAGUCCAGAAACCAGGUUGAGGUAGGUAAACAGACCUUCCUAAGAGUUUCUAGCAGUGAAUUUGUACACUGUGGCAUCUGGUCUGUUCUCUGGGGUGAGGGCUUGCUAAGGCUGGCAUUACAGCUGUUUUUCUUUUUCAUUUAAUGGGACUUGAGCCUAUAAAAUGGACCUGGACGAGUAUAAGCCCCUGAGGUCUCUGAUCAAGAAUUCUCCAGACUUUUCACUAAAGAAGCAAAUACAGAGACGCAACAGGCUAAGAAGGAUUGUGCCUUAGGGUCUCUACCCAAGUGUAAGGCAUAGAACUUCCUCUGGACUUAAGUAAUCUGCCCUCCUCCUCUGGCUGCAGCUGCAGAGGAUGUCUGGGAGCUUGCCUCCGUUCUUCCUGGGAAAGGCCAGAGGACAGACGCACCCGUCACUUUCAAACAGGCCUAAGGUAGGAAGGAAACCCCGUUCAUCGGAAUCCCAGUCUAGAGCUGCCUUUCCCAGAUCUUUCUCCACUGUGGUUCCAGUCCAUCCCUGGUGUUUUAGGAAAACUUAAGAUCAAACUGUUUUCACGUUUGUUCAUUUGGUAUCCUGGAUCACUCCUUUAACUUUGCCAUUGGUAUUCAUUAUAGUAUUCUGGAAUACCUUUCAGAGCAAAUAGGGAGGUGGAAUCCUCUUGUAAGAUUUGAAGAGAUACUUGCCUUGCUCUUGAGGCCUUAUUUUAAAUCAUUACUGCAUUAAAAAUAGAAAAACAAGGAAUUUGUCACCUUCUCCUAGUUAGAUUUUCUUAAGGCCCCGACCCCUCCAGCUGCAUCUGUAACUUGUGGACCAAUGUCUGAAAUACCUGCCCAGGUCAAAGGAGGCAUUAACAGAAGCCGCUUACCACGUCAUCUUCAGUCCAUGAGCCAAUCUCAAAGGAAGGCAGCAGCUGCAUGGGAAAUACGAAUGCAGUGAAAAACAAAAGUAAUAUUAUCAUUGUCUUUUUGGCUCAUCUCUUGUCUCCCCUAUUUUAGCUUUCGGCCGCUGCUCUGGCUCGGUUUCUUCCUUGGCAGGUUAGGUUGAAUGGCAAGCAGUUCUCCUGACCUUGAGGGGAAUUUCUCAUCGCUCCAAGCAUUUACCCACAGAAGCCAAUCCCGGGCACCAGCUUGUCAGUAACAAUUCAUUGCACUUGGUGAGCUGUGGCAGCAGGGGCUGUAGAUCUUGAGACUGUCCUCUCUCGGUACUUGGCACACCAAGAGUAGACUUCCCUCCCACAAUAGGGUUUGACAGUCCAGGAGCUUUUGACAUUUGCCAGACACCAGAGCCUCCCUUGGAAUUCCCACUCAGCAUGAGGAUCAUCGGAUUGUUCAUUAAAUUCUGAAGCAACAUUUUGGUAAUCAGAUGACCUUUAUGCUGCUGCUGCUUUUUUUUUUUUUUUUAAUUUUUUUGAAGAGAAUAUUAAAUCGUUUAUUGAUUACACAUGAUAAUGGACGAUACACAAGCUUUAAUCCCAUCUAUAAUUUUAUCUGAUACCAUAAUUCAAUUUAGAUAUAUUGCAUAGGAUGUGCCAACAAUCAUAUUAAUAACCAAAUAAACUCCAGGACUUUGGUUGGGUGACCCUUUUAACGGUGAACUCCAGGUCACAACACAUUAACUGUCAGUUCAACCACACCAGUGUUUGUGGAGACAACGGCUUCUGUGCCCAAGCAGGUUGCAAAUAAAUUUCAAAUGGAACCUGGCAUCACCCUGAUGGAAUUCUAACUUCACACUGUUGGGGUAGUUUACCAAGAUGAAAAGACUUUAUUUUUUUUAAGUAAUAUCUACACCCAAUGUGGGGCUUGAACUCAAAAUCCCAAGAUUAGGAAUUGCCUGCUCUACGAACUGAGCCAGCCAGGCAUCCAUAUAUGCUGCUGCUUACAGGGGAAUUUCUAAGUGGUUAGCCAAAUGACUCACUUGCAUUAUAUUUUUAAAAGGAAAUAUUAGGAUCCAUGGAUGAAGAAGGACGGGUGAAACUGGAACUGUCGUCCCAAGAAACCCACAUUGCAGAGUUUGCUCUAAUGAAAACCACUAACCUCUCUCCUUUUCAGAUGUAGACAUGAAAGACUUUGCAAAAGGACUUUGGCCUGCAUCAUUUUCAAAGCCAAAGAGCAACUUGCUUCAGUAUAUGCCCAUGGCAAUAGACUAAAUGAUAAACGCCUACAUAAUUUGAAAAAAAAAUUGUGUCCGUCCUGUGUCUUGAAUUAGAGUUUGCCAUACCCUUUAGCUUUAACUAACUUAACUUGCCAGCAUGGUUGGAUUGCUUGUAAGGUAACAUGGCAGUGCCUUUCAACCUUUGUUACAAACAACAUUUUUUUUUUUUUUUUUUUUUUUUUGUGAAUGAAUUGAAAAAGUUGAAUCUGGUUGCUUUUACUAUUAGUGUAAAAAUCGGAAGGUGGGUGAGUUUCUAAUCUGCAAAUAUUUUGAACUCACAUGCUCAAAACCAUACUAGGAAAGGUAUGCUCCUCCCUUUAAGGAGCUUUUAAUUUAAUUGGGGGUGAAACAGAUACGGAUUAUAGAUGGAGUUUAAGGCUACCUUCGUGUUGGCUCACUCAGAGCCUAGCAGAGUGCCUGGCGUACAAUACUUGGUAAAUCUUUGUUGAACCAUUUUGUUGAAUGAAUCCAGCUGCAAGGUGCAUUUACUAAAAUGCUGAAUCCUCUGAUAGAGAAUUCAAUGUGUGCAGGUAUACCAGGGAAAAGGGAGGGAGGGUUUCAUAGACCAAGAUGGGGAUGGAAGGCAUGGUGGCUUGAGCUGGGUACUCUAGGGCACAAAGAACAGAGAUGUGAUUCUACUUGAGGAGAAGCAGGAAGGCCAGACACUGGCACUGGUGUUGGGGACAGGAGGGAAGGGGGGCAUGGCAUGUUUGCCUUACUGGAGCACUGGAUGCAGCAUGUGUAUAUUGGAGGAUAAAGGGGAAAUGCUUAACAUCUUUGCUUAAAAUGCCUAAAUUCUCUCUGGCGAUGAUUAAAAAUCUCUAGGGAGCCAAUCAGAAUUUUUGUUGUAAACCCACAAGUUACAAUAUAUUUGAUUGUGUACAGUUUGAGUGUUCUAGCUGAGUUGUAAGGGCAUAAAUCACAACCGGUCUGUAUAUACUCUGCUACCCCCCAUGUACCCCAGUUCCCUCAGGAUUGCCCCUCUCCUCCUCUGAGAUACUGGAUAUAGGUAGGGAUCUUCACAUGCACUCACCUGCUUCAGUAAUGCAGAAAGGAAAAUGACUUGAGGAAGAAAAAUCUAAAACUGAAUUUGACCAAAGAAUAUACAUGACAUUUUAUUUGUUCAUGGGGCAGCUGAAUACAGCUGCAGGAACAUGUCAUUCCCUUUUCCCAUCACGGAAACAAAUGUGAAAUAAGGAACUUUUUUGAUGAGUUCAAGGCACAACAGACUGACUUUACGGAACUCUUUCCCUGCAUCAAGGUUGGCCUCUAUAGGGAGUGGGGGGAUAUGUGGUGGUUUGAUUUUUAUACAAUUCCCAAAUGUUGUGCUAAGCAAAAUCGUUAAGUAUUUCUUGAAUAAAGGUUGUAAAUGAAACAACUAAUCAAAACCCAUCAUAUUUGGUUUUAAGGUCAAAAGGAGAGGGGAAGAGUUCUCUUGCCCUCCUAGAGUGGCUCGUCAAGAGGACGCCAAGGGAAAGGCAUAGAUUCAGUUUGAUAAUCACUCUGGCAGGAUUCUUGCACAAGGCUUGCAGAGAUCAGUGAUAGGAAGGCUGGAGCCAGACACUGCUUCAAGACGGUUUGAAUUUGGCAAGAUGGGGGUAAGAGUUAAUGAUCUCUAGCCACAUAGUGGUUUACCAUUUCCUUGAUGCUUUCUGUACCUUCUUAGCAUGUCAGUGUAUCUGCUGUAGCAUGAGUUCUAAGCCUUUUGUUCUUUUGAGGAUAAGAAAAAAUCCACCUCGUGACUGCCCCGUCACUUUACAAAUUCAUUAUUUACACUCAACUGAUUUCAGGAGAGAAAAGCUCACAUUCAUGUGCAUGCGUGUGACCGUGAUUCCUUCCAAGGAUGUUGGGAAAUCCCACCUAACAAAGAUCUGAUAUACACAGCAACACAUAACAAAGGGAUUUACUGUCAAAACGUUUAUUGCAAAAUGGAGUCUUAAAACAAAGAAAAAAGCAAAGAAAAGUUCACAUCAAAAUGAAAUGUAUGACACCAACUUGGAUUUCUGAAUACAUUGUGGACUUGUGCUGGAAUAUCAAAUUCCAACUAUGAAAUCAAUAACUGAGUAGUCUUACCACACACGAGUGAUAUGUAAUCUCCCAUACAAACAUUAUACAAGAUAUUUGGCAUAGGAUUUGCUCAGAAUAACAUUGCAACAGAAUAGUUGAGAAAAAGGUUUUGUUAAAAAAAAAAAGUGAUAAUGCCAUCUAUUCAAAGCUCACACUCAAAGAAUAUAAAUAUUUCCUAUUAUUUAGUACAAAAUUUCUAAAAGUGCAAAAGCAAUAUGUGCAGUGUAUUGUAUCUGACAUUAAAAGUUAAACUGUUCUGCACACAAUAUAAAAUAAUUAAUGUAGGUGCUUGAAACACUAGUUUUAAAGUCAAUAAUCACAUGCCAGAAAGCUCCUCAUAGGCAGUAGUGUGCAACUGAUAGUUGAAGCAUAAACGAACAUGGCUAGCUAGCCCUUCAGGUACACGCUCCUUUUUCAUCACAGAAAUGCUACAGCUAUCAGGCUGGGCCACAAUCGAAAGAACAGAACAGAUUGUUCUUUCUGGCAACGCUUAAAGUCUAAACAGGAAAACAGUCUUACUCAAAAGCAGCAAAAGGUGCCUGAUUAUAGAAAAAUUAUGCUCUCUCAUAUGUGGUAGAGUGAGAAUGUGCUAGUUUUCAAAUGCUGCAACAAGUCUAGCGUAUCAAAAACCAAAAAAGUCUCAAUAUUUAACUCAGAAUAGCUUUUAAAAUGAUCUUUCAUGAAAUUCUUAACUACUCCAAUGAAAACUCUGAAAGAUAGUUAUGUACAUCAUAGUUCUAGGAGAAGUCAUUCUGGAUCUCUCCCAAAUCUUACGUCUGAUUCCUUGAUUUUAAUGGGAAUCAAUUUUGAAUUAACUCAGCUGGUGUUAAAAUCUAACAGAUUUGCUGCAUGUUAAACAUCACUGGCUAAAAACUGGCCCUCAACAUUUCCAGAGGAUCCAAAACAAGUGUCCUAUGUGUCUUCAACUCUUCCCAUUGGUUAUUAAUGUAAAAUAUUAAAAUGUGAUUUUACUUAACACACACACACACACACACACACACACACACACACAGCCCUUUUAAAUUAACCUGGCUGCUUUGAAGAACUAUAGCUCCCUCACUGAUGUUUUCCUUUUUUACUUAUUUUGGAAUUAGUGUAACAGAGUGACACCAACCCCCACCCUAGGUAAAUUUUGCUGUUAUAAAGUUUCCACCAGCAUUCUUAAGGGGAAAGAAACCAUUUCCACAAGGGAGGAUUUAAGAUAAAUGCCACAAACCUAUAAACCAUAGAUUGUACAGUAGUUGUAAUUUUAGAAAUGCAUCUUUUGACUUGAGCAAUUUUGUUUGAGGGAGAAAAAUUUGAUACAGAACUGUAAAACUGCCAGGUUUAGCAAGUUUCUUAAAGGGGAAAGGGACAAUGCUAUUGGUAAAUGGAAUUCUUUAUUGGGUGGGACUGUCCCUGGCAUGCAGGAUGUUACCAUUUUUGGCACUGGGCAUUAAAUACACCCCAGUCACUGUGACAACCAAAAAUAUUCUCCAGCCUCCCCCCACCCCUCCAAACAUCAUUAGGUGCCCAAGACGAGAAUGGCUGGUAGACAGUCAUCAAAUUCUAGAUCGUCAACUUUAUGAAUAUAGAAAAAGAUGAAAAAGAGUAAUUAUAUUUUCAGUUGUAGGACUCUGAAAAUUAUGACAAUUUAGAGUUUCAAUUAUUUUUGUGAAUCUUUAAAUUUCUUAGUGUUUCUUUAUAAGUAUACACUUUUGUAAGUCAAGUAAUUGGAAAUAAAUCCAACAUCAACAAUUUGCCAUUUGAAAAACUGAUUUGAAAAGUGAAUUAGAAGCUGUACAAUUAACAUCAUUAGAAAAUGUGCAUAAUAAACAGUUCCUUUGAAAAGUAGUACGAGUCUAAAGUCUUCUAAAUAAUCUUCACAGAUAGAGUGAGACCACUUUAAAAUUUUGUUUAUAGGAUUUAGACUUGAGGGAUGUUCAAAACCCUAGAAAGGGACUUAUCUGAAACAUAAAGUAAUGCUGUAUGAUAAUUACCUAUAAUAAAAUACAAUUCCAGGUGGAGAAUAAUGUCAAGCUUAUCACUGAAGUUUUCAAUUCUGCUGUACCCUAAAUCCCUGAAUACUGGUGAGGAAGAUGACAGCAGUGGAGAGAUCAGGGAGAUAUUCCCUAAUGGUAACCCCUAGGUCUGAGUAGAGUCCUAUUACCUUUCUCUUCUAGCCCUAUUUGGCUGCUUCUAUUAAUGCACCGAAACUUUAUGUGUAAUUACGAUAGAUUUAUAUGUAAAUUAAGAAAAAAAUGUCAGUUUCGUUCUGUUUAUAUGUUCUAAAUUUGUUGAUGAGGAUUCUUGAAUGAGAGGCAGGGUUUACAUUCUUACAUAAAGUGUGCAGAUCUCAAAAUUAGCCCACAGACAUUCCCUGAUCAGCGAGGCCUUGUCCGACCACACUUGAAAACCCACAACAUUCCUCCGCGUGUGUCAUCUUCUUUCCCUGCUCCGUUUUCCAGCAUGCACUUAACAAGUGUUUACGUACUAUAGAACCCACUUGUUUUGUUUACUGUCAGGAUCUCUGCUCACUAGCAGGUGUGCUCCAUGAGCACCAGGGUCUCCCGCUAGCUGGUCCCUGGAACAGUCCCUGGCACAGAGAAGGGGCUCAAUGAAUAUCUGUGGAAUGAAUGACUUUAUCUUUCUCUAGAAAGAUGUGCAAGAGGCUUUUAAACUACUUCCUACUUGGGGCACCUGGGUGGCUCAGUCGGUUGAGCGUCCGACUUCAGCUCAGGUCAUGAUCUCACAGCUUGUGAGUUCGAGUCCCACGUCGGGCUCUGUGCUGACAGCUCGGAGCCUGGAGCCUGCUUCGGAUUCUGUGUCUCCCUCUCUCUCUCUCCCCCCCAACCUACUCGCAUUCUGUCUCCCUCUCUCUCUCUCAAAAAUAAAUAAACAUUAAAAAAAAUUUUUAACUACUUGCUCCUUGAUUCUCUCCUCCAGGUUGCUGGACUACAGUGCCCCCAGGGCAUGCUGGGAAGUCAAGAGUUGAAAACCACCCCUCUGCUUGGCUCCCAGAUGUUCAGCUUGAGGGGCUCAGCUUGAGUCAAGGAGUGCUCCUCUUACGUCUGCGCACGGACAGGACACCUGUUGAGGUCUGUGCCUGUUUGCCGGCAGCACUGUGUAGUGUGCAUCUGUGAAUGGCUGCAUAGACAGAAGGUGUACUGGAUUGGGUAUGGAGGGAACCCAUCUCCCAGGGGAAAGACUUACCUAUUCUGUUUUUACUUAGUCUAUGGGUGGUAGCAGGGCCUGCAAACCCCUCGGGUACGUAGUCUUCAAAGAACACCAGGUUAAAUUUGUUUAUAUAGUUUACGUUCUAAGAAUGCUUUCUUCAUCUUUCCCGAAAGCUGUUUACUUUAACUUUCAUCGCCUACUACUCAAUAAGUAUUACUUGAAGUUGAUAGUUUAGUUUUCCAGGUUACUGUAACCACUUAUUUUUCACUGGCAUAAUAAAGACUUGCUAAAGUUAACUGACCACUUCCCAUGGGCCUGGUUCUGUGUUAAGUGCUUUACAUGUAUUAUUUCAUUUAAUCCCUUCAGCAAUCCUUUGAAGUGGGUACUGUUACCAUUCCCAUGGCAACAAUGAGCAGACAGAUACGCAGGUUAAAUAAUUUCUAACAGAUUACAUGGCAGUUUUGAAUCAUAAUUUGACUACACAUCCUUCUCUUUAUCACCGUGGCAUAUAGACUGUUCUGCAUUUCACACCCCCAGGACAUUUUAAUAGUUAUUUUUCUCCAAAUAAAGCUGGCACAGUGUACUGAUCAUUUUGUGGUAUUUUUCAGCUGUCAAUAGGGAUUAGAAGCCUGUCAUGCUUCAAAUUUCCAGAGACUUUUCCUGAUUGAGUAUACUUGGAAAUAGUAUUAGAUAAUAUCUAUGAUGAUAUCCUUUCUUAAAUUCCCCAUAAAAAGAACUACCAAAAGUGUUUUAGUUUAACAGUCAAAUGAAUGGCCCUUCUUUCCAAAAUAGGCUGAAAAAAGUUUUUAUUCUUUUGCCUUUCUUGUAUAUAUAGGACUACAAAUGUUUUGUAGUUUGUUUUGUUUUUUUCAAACAGUGUUUUAUAGCUUUGACAAACGUGAUAACAUCCUGAGAACCUCUCUCUGGAGAACCAGGUUUUCAGACGGCACCUACAUUCACUUCCAUUUAUCACCAGUGUGGCUCAAUCCAGGUCAAAAAAAAAAAAACCCAAAACACUCUGGGAGGCUGGAUCUGAAUUAAAAAGGACCCUUCAUCCUCCACGUCUGUCUCAGUAGAUAUAAUUUACCUUCGCUCUUCCCUUUAUAUAUUUAGUUCCCUCUUUAAAACAUCUCUGCAUAUAUUUAGAACCCAGAAUGAUCAUGCCCCUGUGGAAAAAGAACAUGCGUAUAUCCUUACUGGCAGCGCAGAGCAGGUCUGUAUUAGCACUUGAGCUGCCCUGCCUGUAAGUUUCCCUUUAAGACCAUACCCUUCUUUUAUAAACUACGCCUCAGAUGAUCAUGUGUUGUUCAGAAGCUUCCAGGGCUAGCACUGGCAUGAAAGCCCGCAACAUCUGCUGUUGGUUUCAAAUUAGAGUAUUUCUUCUUCCAGUAUACUACUAAGAACAUCUCUCAGGUUUUACUGUGAGUAGUUGUGCUAUUAAGUAUUGAAAAUUCUUGGCAUUUAGGUAUUUCUGAAGUAUUUGUGAUCGCCGCCUUUCAUCUCAAUUUUUUUAUUGUUGGAUUUUGUAGUCACUCUCAAUUAUUUCUGACAGCACAGCAUAUUGCCAGAAGAAAAAGAAAUGUAGUGUGUUACAAGAAAAUCAGUGUCUAAGAAGAAUUAGGAGUUAAGAGUGCUUUUUCAAAAUGUAAGUUUUCUUAAGCAAUUAAAUAAAUGAAAUCAAAUCAAAGUAUAAAGUAUUUGCUUGGAAAAAAAAAGCCAGAAUAUAAUUAGUUGUGAAAAAUACUAUAUUGUAUGAUAGAGUCACAAAUUUCUAUAAUCAGGCACCACAUUUGCUGACUCAUUAAAUAUACCUUUCUGGCUUAACCCUCCCCCACACCCCCAUUUUUCUGUAAGCAGGAAAAAAAAAAAGUAAAAUCAUUAAAGAAAUGACUGUCAUAGAAAUGUGAUUGGCUUAAAAAUUCCGUGCUUACUUUUCUACCUCCUUAUUGGUUUUCGUACAGACUGAGUAGCAAGUUUCUUUUGGUUUGCCGAACAUUUCCAAUUUUCUUACUUUGCUGUCUGCUUUCAUUCACUAUUAUUAUCCAUGUCAUUAUCCUCCUCAUCACCGUCAUCAUCAUCAUCAUCAUCAUCGUCACCUUCUGACAAGUCAAAAUCACUGAACCCCAGGGCCAUGUUGACCUUCUUCCCCCUCCUCUUAGAUGUGGUUUUGGAAGAAUUCUGCUUGGCUUGCAUGUUUAUCUGCAUCCCAGAAUGCAGCACAGCUCCUGCUUUGUUCAUUGAGAAGAUAUCCCCAAAGCCCAUCAGCAUCAUGGCCUGCAGACUUUGGUUCAUGCCAUGGCCCUCCCCGUUACUUGUUGCUGUGAUCUGACAUGACAUCUCUGCACUGUUUGACUCCUCUGUCUUAGAUUCAAAGUAAGACUCCUCAGACAUUCUUGCAGCAAGAGGCAAGAGAAGCUAUCGUGAGGGAAGAAAGGACAGAAGCAAAAAGAGAAAUUAGGACCAAUUUAAAUAAAGGAAACAGAUACCACAAAAUUAGUGGGUGCUGCACAGAAGGUUGCUUUUCCACAUAAACCGGAAAAGGAGGCAAACUAUGUUAUUCUUUAGACACUGGAAGAUCCUCUGCAACUGGGCACUGGCUGCUUAAUGGCGAUUAAGGCUUUUAAAAAUAGGAAAGCUUUUUGAAGAUCACCAAGUGAAGAGCAUAAGGAAAACUUGCUUAAGUUCUGCCACAUGGAGACUCUUGGACAGCGAGCUGCCUCGGCGUUCCGCUUAUUAAUUCCUGAUGGGCUCUAUGGAGUUAAUCAGCCGUUAGGCACGUGUUCUGGGGAUCUAACAGAUGGCCUGUCACUGUGCUCUGAGAGCUGGAAGUUCCUUCCCUUGAGUUUCUUCUGAAAGGCCUGGAGACAGCUGACUGGUUAUUAGCUGGAAUCAAGCGAACUCUGCAUGGUCAUGACCGGAUAGUAUGGCGCCGGCCACGGUCCGGGAGCAGCGCUGCGCAGAGCGCGCACCACAGCAGGCCUGUGGGACCAGACCACGUGGGUUCUGGUACUGGCUCUUAGUGUAAUCUUGGGCAGGUGACCUAACAUGUCCAUCCAUCUCAUUUUGCUCUGUGACAGAAGUCAGGAUUGCCGUAUGGAUUAAAAAAGAUAAUCCAGAUAAAGUACGAGCAUCUGGGUGAAGAUAGUUUGAUGAACAGGAGUGAAAGCGAAGAUUGAGGUUGCUGGUUACCAGGGUCAAGGGGACAUGUACAAGUCACGGAAGACCCAGCCACAAACUCCUCCAAGACAAAGCACGGCCAUUCAGCCACGAGGGAGCACGUGGGCGGAGGUGCCUCACAGAUCUGUGUCCCUUGCUGCUCUGCAAACUGUACUUGGUGUUGAGCUGUUCUCACUUGAUGGUGUGGGACGACGUGCUAGGUAACAGGUAUGACUCAGCAUGAAUUCUGUGUUACACGAACAUGUUUCUCAGACUUACCGGUGGUUUAUGCAUUAUUCCCGCUAGAGAAACACAUGCUAUAGAACAGACUGUGUUACCAUCAUGCAUUCUUCCUGGGCCAGAUUGGAACGGAGUUUAAAUUAAGGAAGAAAUUCCAUUCUUAAGUCUUAGAUCUGUUUAAAAAAGUCAGUUCGCAAUAGAUUUCAGUGACAGAGUGGGCAAAUUUGAACUAUAAGAUUAGUUCCUCUCUUGAGUCUUUCUCUUCUGUGAUGUUGUUUUACUUUCUAACUUUUUAAUAUGAAAAAUUACAAACAUAUACAAACUCAGAACAACGUAACAAACCUCCAUAUACCUAUCACGUGGCUUCAAAAAUUAUCUAUGGCCAAUCUUGUUUAAUCUACACCACCAUCUAUUUCCUUUCACUUUAUUUUGAAGCAACUCCAAGACUCGCCUAUCAUUUUAUCUAUAAAUAUUUCCGUAUGUAUGUGAGAGUCUUUUAAAAUGAUCUUUGCAGGGAAAGGAAAUGGGCCUUCAUGCUCAAAUGUGAUAACCACAUGAAAGUCUACAUUCUGGAAUGUCUCCAACUCUAUUGUGAUAGCUUAAAAAACAUCACGAAUCUAGUUUCUCUAGAAGUGCUACUUUUGCCUGGUCUUUGGUUCAGACUGCUUGGGUUCCUUCUCCAGUCUCACCAUGUACUAACCUGUGGCCUUGAGCAUUACUUACCUUCUGUGUGCCUUGACCCUUCAUCUGUAAAAUGAGUGUCAUAACACAACCUAUUUCAUAGAGGUAUUCUAAGGAACAAAUGAGCAAAUGUGCAUAAAGUGCUUGGAGCAGUGCCUGGCAUAUAAUGAGCACUGUGUGCUAGCCAUUUUUAUAACAUGAAAGUGCAAUACUUAUUAUUAGAGAUUAAAAACAAAGGAAUGCAAUUCUUUCCAUUGAGUCAAGAGUGCCAGAAUGCUGUAAGAAAGCCAGUAAUGAGUUUCUAAGGAUCAAGAUGAACAGAUAUCAACAGAAAGACUUUACAGUCCAUCCGAGACUCACAGAAGCAGCAAUUCAGCUUGCUUUGUAAGGAAUCUUAUUACUCCAAGUUUUAGAAACUCAAAACCAAGAAAACACGUGAAAUUUUAGAAUUCUGAACAACGACCAAAAGAAUAUUUAUUUAUAUACCUUGGCAUCAGCUUCCCAACACUGACGUAACAGCUCAGCAAAACUUCUGGGGCAACUGCUUGGAAUGGUUAAUCUCUACCACAGAGAAAGGAAAAACAACACAAGGAUUGACUCAUUAAGGUAAGCAAAUACUGAAAGGUCAUAAAAGUUAAUUUAAGAGCAUAAAUAAGUCAUUAACUUUAAAACUUCCAUUGAUUGAUACAUGGCAAGUAAGAAUUUACGUUUAGAUUCAUAAUAUCUAAUCCCUAAAGACACUGAUGCUACUUUUCUUCCAAAACGGUAUCCAAGUGGAUGGAGAAGUUGGAUUCAGCACAACAAAUCCAAAAAAAAACCUAGACACAAGUCUAAAAGAAACUACAGUAGGACAGGGGCAAGGGGGAACAGAAAUACACACUGUAAAACCACAAACCUAUCACCAUUCUUUCAUAGACAACUACGAAAUCUGCAGACAGGUCGGACAGCCAGGCAACCAGCUUGGCUCUGGCAGGAGGUGUACAACUCUGAAAGCAUCUUCUGCAGAGACCGUCAAAGAGAGAAUUUUAAAGAAGUGUGCCUUUUCUCAUCAGCAAAGAGGAUAUUCUGUUUUUUCUUUUUCUUUUUUUUUUUUUAACGUUUAUUUAUUUUUGAGACAGAGAGAGACACACCAUGAACAGGGGAGGGUCAGAGAGAGGGAGACACAGAAUCCGAAACAGGCUCCAGGCUCUGAGCUGUCAGCACAGAGCCCGACGCGGGGCUCGAACUCACGGACCGUGAGAUCAUGACCUGAGCUGAAGUUGGACGCUCAACCAACUGAGCCACCCAGGCGCCCCCAAAGAGGAUAUUCUGAAUGUAUGACCCCUUACGGGUAAACCGCAGGGACUGGACACAACAGAGAUUAUAAUGUGAGGAUCAGUCCCGUUCCAACAUUUUAUACAAGUGGUUCUCUAGAACUUGCGAUGUCCCUGGAGGCUCUCUAGAGAUCUGCAGAGGCAUUUUUUGUUUGUUUUAAAGACUGGAGGGCUGCACCUGGCAUGGGUCAAGAGUACUAGACAUCCUUCAUUGUGUUGUAAAUCCCUGAUUAAGUACUCCCUCAUACUCCACUAAACUCCAGAUGCUCCGGGUGCAAACAACAAGGUUUAUCAUUUUCUGACCUCAGACUCUCUCUUGGAUUUAUAAACACAUUUUUUGAGCAGUUUUAAAAUACAAUGAAUUAAGAAUGCAACUACUAAAUAAGAUAAAUCAAGGGCAGAUUGAUCUUUGCAGUACUCAUAACCUUACCAAGAUGUUUGGAAAACAUCACCUGCAACAGCAUUGCUCACGCUGCUGGAAUCACUGAUACAAUUCAGCUCGACUCUGCAUGUGUAGCUGUUGAAUCCUAUUUACCCGCAGGGACAAGCAUCUAAAAUUGUUCCACACUCUCCUCUCUUGUGGCCAUGCCUGUGCAUUUAUACAUUGCAAUACCUUUUUCAUCGAUUUCUUCUUUAUUACAGUUAGAGCAUUAUGUUAACUUUAAAAUAUAAUGUGUAUAAUGGGUAGGUUGCAUUACCUCUGAAUUUCAUUUCAGGGAAGUAGAGGGACCAUUAACAGGGUUGUUAUCAAAAGAGCGCUGGGUGUGAGUUGAGAACUGCUGCACUAAGAAGUACUGAGAUUUAUUCCACAGUAUUGUUUACUGAAGAAGUUUUGUAAAUAAAAAGCUUAAACUGAAUUUAUUUGGAUUUAGGGGAGAUUGUGUAUAAAACUAGAAAAAGAGUUAUUCUGGCAGGAAAACAGAUGAUCUAUAUUUAGAAUUACAGAUAACCUUAAAAUCAAAAUAAACCAAAAUAAAACCUUAUAACCAAGUUUUAAACAAAACAACCCUCUCCAAGUUAAAGGUAUGCUAAACAUCUUUUUAAUUAAUUACAUAGAACAGAGGAGAUGCAGUAACCUGUACUCUUAUUUUACUGUAAUAUAUGGUAAACCGUCCUCCUAUUUUACUGGAAACCUUUUGAUGAAAAUCAAAAGGAAAAUCGGGUGUUUACUUAAAAACACACACACACACAUACACACACAUACAUAUGAUGGCUGGUUGGGAGGAGCAACUAAGAAAAACGAAGUGAUUGCAACUAUUCAGCUGAAUCCACUCCAUGGCAAAACAGUUUCUCAUAAAAGGUAACAUUUUCAAUAUAACUUUCUCACAUUUUUUCUAAGAACUGAAAUGUGACCUGGACGAAAAUGGAUGUUAAUUUUCUGUCAUCUUUUCUCACUGAAAAACUUUUUAGCUACUGAAUCUUGAGACAUUACGAAAUAAGAUAUAAUUAUUUUAAAUUAUCUGAUAUGGUCAAAUAUCAACUAAAUCUAAACUCACGCGCUAAUGUAAGGGAUUAUUUUGGUGCAUCAAAAAGUACCUUAAAAAAUAAAAAUAUAAAGUACUUUAAAAGGGAAUCCAAAGCAUUUAAGUCCUGAUUACCUAAUUGUGGGUAUUCCUACUGCAUUAAAACAUCCUGAAAUGGCCAGAAUAUUAGCAAUAGAUUUGCAACACUUCAAAACGUUAAGAUUGUAAAAGUUUCAAAUUUAAAUUAAAAUAUUUCCCAAACACUAUUUAAAUUAAAAUAACCCAAAAAUGCAUGACAUUUUUUAAAGGUCAUACUCCUUUUUGCACCAUUUUCUACAUAAGAUGCAAAAAAUUACUCUUAAUAAUUUAUCUUUUUCUAAAGUAUAGUCAACAAUGGAUUAAGCUUUUUGAGGAUUUCUAUUAAGAAUAGUAGCUUUGCUACUAAGAACAAAACACAUUUUAUAAGAAUCUAAGUACUUGUAAAGAUAGAAAUUAUCCUGCUAGAAUAUUCUGAAUGACCACUAAUUGAGUUUUAUGGAAAUAACAAAGGCAAACAUACAUGUCUGGAAGAAUUAUGAAAUUUACUAGCAAUACCCUCCUACUUUCAGGACUUCUGUAAGGAUUCACUGUUUGCUUUAACAGUGCUUUAUGUAUCUAGUUUUAAUAGGAUUUAAUAUUAGGAAAAAUUGUUUGAAGGCCUUAUUUCAUUAUUAAGCACUUAGAAGCAAAGGCCUUCAGAUAUUUUUAGAAAGUAUUGAUCUUCCUACAGAUCCAAAAAGCAGUCCUAAAUGGUGAAACUAAAUGAGGUCUAGAGUCUAGUUGAGAGUAAUGUAUCAAUGUCAACUUUCUGGUUUUGGUAUUGGCCUACACCUGUAUCUCACCAGUGGUAGAAGCUGGGUGAAGGAUACACAGAAUCCCUUCUAAUAUUUUUGCAACUUACUGUGAGUCUAUGAUUAUUUCAAAAUAAAAGUUAAAAAGAAAAGACAAUUCUAAUAUUUGAAUAUAGGUGCAUUCUAGCAUGAGUAGCUUACAUUUAAAGUGUCUCGCUAAGUUUAAACACAUCAUUCUUUACUUAAAUGAGGCCUGUUUAAAAAAAAAAAUACAGCUUGCUCUUUUCAACUCAAGAACCCAAGAUAUUCCAAAGUAAAAAUAAGUGAAUUAAAAUAAUUAGAAGUUGAAAGGAUUUUGGAAAUUACAUUUAAAUCAGUCUCGAUUUUAUUACGAAAUUAAAUAAAUCCUUGGCAAAAUUUUUUCAAGCUUUAAGUCAAGUCCCAGGUAGUUAACAUACAGUGUACUAUUAGUUUCAGGUAUAGGAUUUAGUGAUUCAACACUUACGUCAUAACACCUGGAGCUCAUCACAACAAGCGCCUCCUUAAUACCCAUCACCCGUGUAACCCAUCCCCUCCUCCAGCAACCCUCAGUUUGUUCUCUACAAACUGCCAGUUGAGACUUGGCAAUUAUUUUAAUGUUAUGUCAGUAGAAUUUGUUUUGGUAAUAAGUGUCUACGUUUAUGAGAUGAAAUGAAGACUCCUUCCCGAAUGAUGACAAUGGAAUUUACAGCUAAACUGCCAUAUUUUUGACAAAUAAAUACGUAGAAUGAGAGUAGAGAGAGAAAUAUCCUCAUAAUACCCAAAUUUCCUCAAGUUCAGUGGAAAAUUGGGAAAACUUGUGUCACCGUGGGGGGGGGGGGUCUUUCAAUUUUCUAUUCUAUGUCCAGAAUGGGAGGGGUCUGAGUAGUCUCCGUCAGUUAUUAGCUGGCCAUCAUGUACACCAUGGAUAAAACAGUACAACCUACUCUAGGGAAUCCUUCAGGGAAAGGGGGGAGAUAGCCUCUUUCCUGUACAUGGUGGGGAGGUUCUGAAGAUUAUGGGUGAUUCCCAGCCCUCAAGCCUGCUAUCCAAAGGCAGUUUCUAAAUUCAUUUUUCUCAACAGCUUUAAUAAUCCUUGAGAGAUACUCCAAUGUUUUGAAAGUGCUUCAGAUUCACACCUCUUCUGCCAUCCUUUAGAUGAAGUACUAUUUUUAAAUAUUAAUUCGUUUUUCUUAGACAUAUUUGGAGGGCCCAGUUGGCUUUUAAAAAACUUUCUUCUAGUUUAUCUUGGAACAACAUAGAGGGAAACAAAUUACAUGGAGUGUUCUGCUCCAAAGUCAACAUUGGGUCAAUAAUUUUCUUCCCUCUCAUUUGUAACCCCAGAACCAAACAUCUAAUCACCUCACUGGCAAAAGAAACUGAACAGAAACAAGUGGGUUCUCCUAUCAUGAAAAUAUCAGUUAUUCUAUGUACCAGGUCUGAUUUAAUAGCACACCAGGAAUAACCAUGACAUUUAAUUAAAACGGAACAGCUCCUGUGAAACACUGAGCAAGACACGUUCUUGAAUAUAACUCCUUUUCCUUUUCCUUAAAUUGGCAGCUCUCUCCCAUCAAGUUCAGCUAUCAUGAACAUUUCAUCCGCUCUCAAUAGCUCAGGAGGACAAAUUAAUAAGGUAGCUGGAUUAUGUGAUCUAAACUAUGGAAACAUGGUUUCUCUUAGUCAAUAGCAGCUUUUUGGUUAAUCUAGUCUGUUCCUGCACUCACAUGGGGAGCAAAUCAAUCCAAUUCUUUUAAAGCAUGAAAAAAGGAAUAUCUCUAUACAGUCAACCUUUUUGCAAAUUAUUUUAUGCUAAGGUUACACUCUUACCUUCUGUGGAGGGCACAGAUAAGGUCUGGAAAUGAAGGUUUGUGAAAUAAGGUUGUUUUGCAUUGCAAAGACAACUGCAUGCUUCCAUUACUUGAUCUAAGUUCUCCUAGUACCUUGAUAUUGGAUGCUUCAUCCUUAUGCUGAGGAUUUCCAUGCCUGUGCAUUUCAGUCACAAUUUUAAACCUUUCAAAAUGUAGUUGCUCUCUUUGAUAUGAAUGUACCACGUUCUCUGAUGUAGGCUCAUAGGUCCAACUAACUGAAAGCCUCAAUUUGUGGGAAGAAGAAAAGCGAGGCUGGGGACACAGCACAAACGGUGUUUACGCCACUGAAGUUCUUUUGAAAUGGAAAGGCUCUGCAUGAAGAAGGGAACAGUUAUGCCACUGCCUCGCCAAUUCCAGUGAGGAGCUCAUCUUCAAUGUAGUGUUCAACGUAGGUGGCAAAACUGUAAUUUUUCCCUUUUUUGAAACUAUUUUUUCUUCUUUUAUUUUUGAAAUUCUCAUCUAAGCGACAGUUUCUUGUACUAUAGUGACUCCUGCUGGGAGAGGUAAGUUGAAGUAGCUGAAGGUCUCUUACAGAUAUAUCAACUCCCGGCCAGUAAAAAAGAUGUCCUAAACGCAGGAGAUGGAGUUAAACUGUUCCCCUACCUUGGACGCAAUGGCUUCUUUCAUCACUAAGAACAAACCCCUAGGUUUUACAAUUGAGACUGAGAAACUAGUACAGUACUUGUACAAUUUUUGAUCUACAGCAUCACGACGUGAAGCUGCAACAAUUAGAUGUAAAGGGUCCAUUCAUGAGGAAUAACAUCACUUUGACCCUUUGUGUUAGCUCCUACUGCUAAUCUUUCCAUAAGCGUGAACUUACUUUCAAUUUGAAGAAGAUGAAAAAGUCUUUUGCAAAACCCCAAUACUGUUUUCUGAUCUAUGUACCUGAAUGGAGAAUCGUAGUCUUACCUCGUUUUUUUCCACUACAAGCCAAGCUACUUGUAAUCCUUCCAAACCUUUAAAGGGGACCUCCCUUGUUAGCAUCUCCCAGAGAACCUGGAACAAAAAGAAAAUGGAAUUUUUAUUCUUGUACUUUAUAUUUUUGGUGUUUUACUGAAACUUUAUCUAACAUUUAACUGUAUCCAAUUACCAGACAAAAACCAACCCCACCUGUAGAAACUUGUGCAAAAUGUAUAUAUUCAUAUAUAUAUAUAUAUAUAUAUAUAUAUACACACAUAUAUAUAUACACACACACACAUUUUGUGUAUAUAUAUGUAUAUAUAUACAUAUAAACAUAUACACACAUUUUUUGUUCAUUUUUAUGAAGAAAAAAAAACUAGAAAUCAGAACAUUUAGAGCCAGACUUAAAAUUUUAUGAAACCAAUGGGCCUGCAUAAUUUAUCUUGUAAGUUAUGAGAAUUCUCACAGAUUCCCACAAAUUAGAUUUUACAUUUUGUUGGUCAAACUCUUUCCACCUUCAAUUGCCGAUAAAUUUCUCUGUAAGAUAGUAACUGGGAAUUCAACUGUAGUUUUAAAGGUUCAGUAAUGGUCUGAUAAAAGAAAAAUUGAGCUCUAAAUCCGAAUCACUGGCUAAACCCUUCACCCCAUAAUAGUAGGUACUUGCAAAAACUCUAACAUUUAAAUUUUGUGUUUUUGGAGAAAGCCCUCUGAAAGUAAGUCGGUCUAAGGUAUUAAUUUUCUUCCCCCUAUAACAUCAUUUAUUAUAUAUUCUAAAAUGUAAUAAAUACUUUAUGUUCUUAAGUAUAGGCUGAGUGUGUGUGUGUGUGUGUGUGUGUGUGUGUGUGUGUGUGAAUUUAUGUGUAUGUUCAUCUCUCCACAAUCCUUGAGAUCAGCAUGACUAAUAAAUCUGCACUGGAAUGCCCAAAGAAAGCAAACUGAAGUUGGGAAUGCUGAAAACUGCCAAUAUUUUGGGUUUCAUUUAAAAUACUAAGUAAUGGAGACUUUUAUAUUCAGGUGACUUUCUCUAUACAAACGAGCAUCAAAAUCAGUCUAUCAACAUUUGGUGAAGUGCAAAAACAAUUACAAUUUUACCCGUAAAUCACCAUAACCACCACUAUCACUUAUGGAGUGAUUAUGUUCCAGAUGCUCUGUUGAACCCUUUACACAUGUUACCAUGAUUAAUAUCAACCCCAUCAAACAGAUUUUAUCCUCAUUUUACAGAUGAGGAAACUAAGGCCUAAGAAAGUUAAAUUAAACUUGCCGAAAGACACUCUGCUAUCAAUUGGCACUUGCUGCCUUGCCCUAAAGGUCAAGCUCUUAACCUGACAUAACUCUAGAGAAGAGAAGGCUGCAGCAUGAGAGAGAAUGUGACGAGCCAUAGUGCAGGUGUGGAGCCAUGGCAGAGGUGAGAAGCAAAUGAAUUCGGUUUUGAUUUAGAUUUCUCUUGUCCUACAAACAAAACAAAAGCCAUUUCUAAAUAAGAACGUUGACUGAGGACAUCUAUUCAAGCAGGUCCUACAAACCUUUAACUCUAUAUCCACUGCUCCCUCAGCCAGCGCUCGGUCAUAUUUGAAUCAGAACGUGUUAAAUGAACUCCGGCUAAUACGAAGAUAAUUAGCAGGAAAAUCAGGGAAAUCGGCAGAUGCUGCUCAAGCAGGAGAAAAAAAAUUCGCUGCAGCCUCUUUCGGCUUUUAAUCAAGUGUGUAAGGUGCUUCUUCAGAAGAGCUGCUGAAUAAUUCUAUUUGAGUCACAGAAGUGAUUAGGAAAAGGUAAGGGGCAUCCCGGAAGGGGAUGAUUCUAGUAAGCACUAUAAGUAAAGGAAGCUGAGGAAGACCAGAACAGGUAUGCGAUCACCCCUGGGACCCCGCCUGCACAGGGGAGGGAGACGAGCAGGAAAUGAAGCCCCUCCAUUCAGUGCAAUUACCACUCCCCUGAUGCUAGGAUUGUGGAGGGGAAGGGAUAUGAACAGCAAGCAAAUGGAAGGAUUUGGCCUUCUUCAGGAGAAAGAGUACAGUGAAUCGACUUCAAAUAAAUCAAAUGGUCCAGACCCCAAAUGUCGAGGUAAGUGGCCUUGCAUCCCGUUUUCUGAGUGUGGCCUGCACGCACAACCCAUUGCACAGGCGCACACGUGAAGGCUGACUGCAUUGUAUGAAGUAAAAUGCAAAACCAAGAGCUUGGGAAGUAAUACAGGAAAAGAUUUCUGUCAUUCUCUGUUCCAAAAUAUUCAGUUGGAAAAUAGCCAAAAUCUACAAAGAUCUGAGUUCUAUUUCUCCAAGAGUUCUAACACUGGAAACAUAAGAGUUUCAUUUUAGUCCCUCUCUGUAUCUCAGACAUGCUCCUGCAGCUGAGGGUCCCUGUGACAGCCACACACGUGUGGGAUCUGGACAGGGCACCGUGAGCCGCUAGGCUCUUUAGGUGAAGUCCAGCACCAGCACCUGCCGCGAUGCCCUGUUACUAAUUCACCAGGUGUAGGCGUGUAUCAAAACAUAGGUGGUAUGAUAUAGGCAACAGCUGUUUCUACAUGAAACACAAUGACGUUUGGCACAAAAAAGUCCUUUGUGGAGGAAGUCAUUUGGAGGUCUAAAAAUAUAUUAAACUAUGCCUGAAAAUACCAGUGAUGGGGAUGCAGGCCAAACAUUAUUGUGAUCUUUCCCCUUAAAAAUACUUUCCAACUCAUUCUAUACUGAGACGUGCUCACGUUUAAAUUGUGCUCACAAGGAAAAUUUUCUAUUUUCAGCUUGCAGAGAAACUUGGACAAGGCUGUGUACUUUUCCUGCCUUUUCUUUUACAAACAAUGGAAAGCCAUUACCUGAGCCGGGUUGGUUCUGGAACGGGGCUCAUAGACAAGUGAGGCAGUGAUGCUCCCUCUUAAGCCACUCUAUUUUCAAAUAGUGGUUCUGGCUCAGAAGCUUCUGAGAAGCUAAUCCUGUCUGCAUUGUCAUUAGGAGAGCUUUGUUUCUAAAGAGUGGCGAGGCCUUGUGUUCUCAGAAGGCUUAUUCUUUCAAUGAUUUUUGGUUUCCUCCAGCCUUUUCUUUUUUGUGGAUAACAUACUACACACUCCUCUGGUUUGGUCCUUCAAGAGAAAUCACCCUAAGGGGGUAGCACAAUCUCCUUUCUUGUAAAAUGGAGAGAGAAACAAUCGCCUGCCUAGCAGAGUCUGUCAGCUUAGAAGCAAGGACCACAAGAUCCAUUUCGGGGAUUUGUGUCACAUUUAUUUUUAAGGCUGUACCAGGCUGUUAGUGUUGCCAUCUGCUAAGAAGCCACACAGGUUUAUCAAGCUGCGGAGGGCCAGGGACUUGGACGAUACUGGGGACUGCUAUUAUAGCAAGUCUGAAAAAAAUAGAAACAUGAAAAGCAAAAACAUAUUAGUUGUUUUUUUUUGAGGUGGAUUUCAAAAAAGGACAACUCUUUUAUUAUGGUCUUACUCAUCUGUAUGUGACUGCUAUGUAUGUAUGUGUGUCGGGGCUCAAUGACCAGGAUGGAUUUUCAAUGAGCUAUGGGAAUUCUGUUCUAUGCAAAGAGAUACUUUAAUGACAAGUGGUUCUAGCUACUCACUCAUUUUUGAAAGGAGAUCAAAAGUUCUAAAUAACCAACCACCUCGCUUUCCUAGGUAGGUCUCUCUUUCAAAGUCUAUGCACUACAAACUUCUAAAACCAACAUGCCCCUACCUUACCAACCAUUCGCUACUGCUCUUUUAGGUAAUACCUACUUUGACCAUGUAAUGAUUUCUUCAUUUUUUAAAAAUGCUAUGAUUGCUUAAGCAAACAACUCUGAAGAGCAUGCCUUGUACUCUUUCUUUCACUAAAUGGUGUUUAUCAAGAACAGAAUGGGAAUAGGUUGGAAUUAAAUAAAAUCUUGAAUUCUCAUUUAUACUUAA